GCGGGGCGGCAGGUGCUGCCGCCAGCGGGCCGUGGUCGCCGGCCUGCGCCCGGCGCGGAGGGGCCAGGCCGCCGGCGCUCCCCCGGCUUCCCUUUUUUUCCAUUUUUUUUUAAAGAAAGCCACACGGACACACGCGCAGGCACGUGUAAAUGGGAAGGGACGGCGGCAGCCGCAGCCCCCUCGCUGUGCGAGGUCGGGCGGGCUGGUCACUGGCAGGAGGAGGAAAAAGAAAAUACCCCGAAUAGGUAGCGCGUGUUUGGGGUUACGCCCGCCAGAACUGCUGAGUGGUUUCUGUGAAACUUCCAGAAAAUAAAAUUUGUAAGCAGUCAGAAAGAAGAUACCAUGCUGUCAUAAUUUGAAGGAAAAGUAAUAGCAGACUGCAGACCGUUCUGCUAAAUACAGUGUUCUCUCGCAUGACCACGUAAUUAAAAUAUGCUGAUGAGGUAACCCAGAGAUAAGAUGUGGGAGGAUAGAAGGAGAAGACCAAGGAUACAGUUCUGUGAGAGAGCUUGAGGAGAAUCUGUCAACACUUGGAAGCAAGGCUCAAGCAGACUGCUUCAGCUUUUUCUCCUGAGCAUGCACUGAAUCAUGUGAUGAGCUUCAGUGUAGCCCUCUCUCCUGCUCUGUGACCUCUGUUUCAACUGGUCGGCUGCAUCUGGUACACUGGAUCAUAGGGGAUGAUGGGAAGAGAGGCCAUGGCACAGUUGGGAGUGUAAGGGAGAUUCAGCCCUUCCUUGUAGAGGAGAGUGCACCAGAAGCAAGAUGUGUGAGUUGGUACAGUGUGUGAGAUGUCACUGCUCUGUAAUGGAUAAAUAAAAACAUGGAUAAAGUAGAGCAAGAUCCAAGGUCUUUGGAAAAGACAUGCUAUACAAAAGCUGCUGCUCUCUUUUAAAAGCAUUUGUGCGUUCAAGACGCAGACACAAGUCAAAGAAAAUCAAACUCUCCUGAUACGACCUCACCAUCCUGGGCUUAGACCAGGUCAUUAGAACAAGCAGGCAUUUAAGGUUUUGUGGCCUAGGUCAUCUGAUUUCUGAUAAUGACAUGGUCUUCUUUGCUCCAAGAAGCAGUCUCCUAAAACUUUGGUGCCUGUUUCCAUGUUUGCUAUGAACUGGUCCUUUGCUGCAUUCCUGUGUAAAAACAAUGUCAUUAUUCCCCUACUGGUAGAAAAAAUAUUGGCUCUAUAGAGAUUUUUCUCCAAUGACAUCCCUCAGCUGCUUUGUCGCACCCCUUGGACAUGUCUGCUUAAUGCUGAGUUUCUGCUAUAAAAUAGAUGUUCCCCUCAUCAGUGAUGAUUACAUCACAAGCAGAAAAAUUAAUGCGAAAAAAAUUGACACAGAUAUCCUUAAGACUAUCAAAUUGUAAAAGCAAUUUUAAGCAGUAUUUCCUGUGGUUUCAGCAUCUCCAGUAGACAAGUGCAACUUAUUUGGGAUUCCAACAGCACAGAAAAUUGGAAAUUAAGACUGGGAGUUGCAAAGAAAUUUGAAGGACCUGGGUGAUCAGAUCCCUCUGAGUUCCAGUGAAAUCUGGACUGGAAACUUGUUUUCUUUUUGCAAAUCCUGGUCCUAAGGACUUGAUGAUCAUGAAGAUAACCCUGAACAUGGCAGUUGGCCGCAUCGUCACCGUUCGUGUUGCGAUGUCACAUUUCUAAUCUUCAUGUACAUUCCCCACACGCGCUCUUCCUGAGCUUUGCUGUAAUUACUGUUCAGUAAAGCAACCGCACGCCCG